CCAGACUCCUACGGGAGGCAGCAGUGGGGAAUAUUGCACAAUGGGGGAAACCCUGAUGCAGCGACGCCGCGUGAGUGAAGAAGUAUUUCGGAAUGUAAAGCUCUAUCAGCAGGGAAGAAAUACUGACCAUAGGGUCAGCAGACGGUACUUGACUAAGAAGCCCGGGCUAACUACGUGCCAGCAGCCGCGGUAAUACGUAGGGGGCAAGCGUUAUCCGGAUUUACUGGGUGUAAAGGGAGCGUAGACGGCAGCGCAAGUCUGGAGUGAAAGCCCGGGGCCCAACCCCGGGACUGCUCUGGAAACUGCGUCGCUGGAGUACGGGAGGGGCAGGCGGAAUUCCUGGUGUAGCGGUGAAAUGCGUAGAUAUCAGGAGGAACGCCGGCGGCGAGGGCGGCCUGCUGGACCGUGACUGACGUUGAGGCUCGAGAGCGUGGCGAGCAAACAGGAUUAGAUCCCCCAGUA
rnacentral:rRNA from 1 species